CCGGCGUCGUGCCAGCCCGUCGUCCGGGGACCGGCGCGGUGACUGUUCGGGGCGCUCGGGAACGUCGGCCCGGAGGACGCUUCGGCGGAGAGCGGCGCGGGCCUGGCGCCGGAACCAACAAAACUACCCAUAAGUAAUUUUAAAGUUGGGAUGAAGAUUGAAGCUGUUGACCAAAAAAAUCCUGGAAUGAUAUACCUGCUACAAUUGGAGCUGUUAGAAAAGAUCAGGUUCAUAUUAUCUUGGAUGGCUGGAAUAGAGCAUUUAAUUAUUGGUGUAGGUAUGAGUCACAAGAUAUUUUCCAAGUUGGAUGGUGUUUCCUGACAGGAGAUGUUUUUCACCCACCAGGAAAUAUUGAUUCUAGUGCAAAGAAUAUGAGAAAAACAGAGUCUUCCACUUGCAAGAUGAAGCCUUCACAGGAAAUUCCACCUUCAAUGAAGCAUUCACAGAAAAUGAUGGUGGUACUACCUAUACUGCAGGCCAAGAAAUCAGGGCAUUCUAAAUCAACUGGAGCUGCAUCAGACCCGAAGAAAGAUAGUUCUCUUAAAAAUAUCACACCAAAGAAAGGAGUAACAAAGCCAAGAAAAGUUACUUAUAACUAUUUGUAAUUUACAAAAAUUGGUCAUUUAUAUUAUAGGUCUGGAGUACCUUAAUAUUUUCAGCAUGCAUUUAAAGAAGGUACAAAGCUGUGCUGAAGUUUUUAGCAAUGUACUGAGUAAAUAUAAGACCUCAUAUGGCUAUUGAGAAAUUAAUAUUUCUCUUUUCAGUAAAUUUAAAGAUGCUUUAAAUUUAAUGUUCUACUUAGGAAAUACUGAUUGAGUAUAUUUGUGGUCAUAAAGUUAAUUUAAAACUCAGUAUCAUUUUGAAAACCAAUCUGAGCUAUAGAAAUUAUAUCUCCACAAUAUGGUGUGAUUUGAUUCAGGUGUCCCCCAUAAACUUAGGUAUUCUGAAUACUAGGUUCCCAGCUGAUAGAGAUUUGGGGAUUAAUGCCACCUGGAGGCACGGUAUUGUUGGGGAUGGGCUUAUGGGUAUUAUAGCUAGUGCCCCCCUUACCAGAAUUUGGCACAACCCCUAUUGCUAUUGUCUGCCUUAUGUUGGCCAAGGGGGUGAUGUCCACCCUCUGCUCAUGCCAUCACUUUCCCCUGUCAUGGUGGAUCUUCCCUUCAAGCCUAUAAGCCAAAAUAAACCUUCCCCCC